rnacentral:lncRNA from 1 species
GAAGAGGUUAAGGAUUUCUUUGACGGAAAGAUGGAAAGAGGUUCAGAGCUGAGCGAUACCUUGGGAAGAAAACACAAUUCAGAAGAACAAACAGUGAAAAGGCUGCAAAAAGAUAUGGGCUACCUGAGGAAAAAAGUUUUCCAAAAGGAAAUGAGAAGGCUAUGAAUUGUAACACAAAAGUUAUCUGUGUCAUAAUUUUGUGCAGAUAGAUCUCAAGUAUUCUCAACCACCAAGCGAUGGACCUCCACAUCCAGAGUUUCCUGCCUAGACCUCAUUAGGAAAUAAGAUGCAGUGGAGAAAACAAGGACAUUAGGGGUGUGUCUACAUCGAGCAUUGUGAAACACUUAAUUAUGGUUAUUUUCUG